GAAAAUAGGGCACCAAACCUUCUCCUCCACCAACAGCCGUCACACCCAAAAGGAGUGUCCCUCCAGGGGCUUUCCCCUGGGAGCCGCAACUGUAAGCUGCAUGGGGGAGGGGAAGCGCUCUCAAACAGUCAUCUCUUCCUCUUCAGGCCGCCAACGCCGACCGCACCACAGUCUCCUCCGCCCAAGCCCUUUCCCCUCCCCCGCCCCAGCCUGGGUCGGAGCCAAACCCCACAGGAAUGCAGCCCGGUCACAUGCGCUGCGGCGGCGGUGGACGUGCCUCUCCCCCCGCGCCCCAAGGAGACCCAGCGCCAUCUUGCCCUGACGCAGUUACAAAAGUCACGAGAGAAAUGGUGUCUCCUCGUCCGCGCCAGCGCCCCAAGGUUUCGCAGGGGCCGAGCCGGGGCCCUCACCUCGCGCAGGGACAGGAGAAAAUACUCAGGGAAGAGCCUUGAGAUUCUCUUCGCCACUGCUUGGGUUCCAUAUCGGCCGCGGCAGCAACCAUCACCAUCGUCACUUCUCCCUCUCUGCCUUUGCAACAGCCUCCCCCGACGGCUCUGGCCCCACCCGCUGCUGCAGCAUGAGGUCAUCGCUAGCCAAUCACUACUAGCCCGACAGGACACACCAGGCACUGAUUGGCCGCAUGGACCGCCUCUGCCUCUCCCCACUCCGCUUACCAAGCGCUCCGGGUCUCUGUGGAGCAAGAAGACGGAAACCGCCAUUUCGGGGAAAGACCCCGAAAACAAGAACCGGAAUCACAAUGUUAUUUUAGUGGGGAAACCCUUGUUUUAUUCUUUGGCAUCCCCCUUUUUUCUUCGAGAUAACCGUCUCUCUGUCCCUCCCUCGUUUAAUCACCGCCACAUAAAGGUUAACUCCUGCUCCCCACCCCGCACAUUGUCCCGCCGGCGGGGAAAUCCUUCCCCGGGGCCAAGAGAAGUAGGAGGCAGCGACGGCAACUGCACCGACGGCAACGGCAGCUUUUUACCCCGAUACACGGUGGCAGGGAAGCGGCGCUGA
rnacentral:lncRNA from 1 species